GGUUCCCUGGUCUAGUGGCUAGCAUGCGGUGCUCUCAUCACCGAGGUCUGGGUUUGAUCCCUGGUCAAGGAACCA